GGGGCGAAUCGGGCGGUCGCCGAUGGUUGACGCGGUCAGCCAUCGGAGGAAAGUCCGAACACCAGAGGGCAGCGGGCUGGGUAACGCCCAGGCAGGCCGUCCGUAAGGGCGUCCUGACGACAAGUGCAACAGAGAGCAGACCGGCCGAUGGCUAUCACCCUUUUGCGAGGGUGGUGGAUCAGGCAAAGGGUGAAACGGUGGGGUAAGAGCCCACCAGCGGGCGUGGUGACACGUCCGGCUAGGCAAACUCCCCGCGGUGCAAGACCAAAUAGGAAGGCGCUCGAGGGUGGCCCGCCCGACGAUCGCGCGCCUUGCGCGAUGGCGCCUUCGGGUAGGUCGCUUGAGCUGACGGGUGACCGUCAGCCCAGAGGAAUGACCGCCAUCCCGGCUCUCCUCCGGGGAGACGGGAGACAGAAUUCGGCUUACAGAUUCGUCCCAGAC
rnacentral:RNase_P_RNA from 1 species